GACGAACGCUGGCGGCGUGCUUAACACAUGCAAGUCGAGCGAUGAAGUUCCUUCGGGAACGGAUUAGCGGCGGACGGGUGAGUAACACGUGGGUAACCUGUCUCAUAGAGGGGAAUAGCCUUUCGAAAGGAAGAUUAAUACCGCAUAAGAUUGUAGCUUCGCAUGGAGUAGCAAUUAAAGGAGUAAUCCGCUAUGAGAUGGACCCGCGUCGCAUUAGCUAGUUGGUGAGGUAACGGCUCACCAAGGCGACGAUGCGUAGCCGACCUGAGAGGGUAAUCGGCCGCAUUGGGACUGGGACCCGGCCCAGACUCCUACGGGAGGCAGCAGUGGGGAAUAUUGCACAAUGGGGGAAACCCUGAUGCAGCAACGCCGCGUGAGUGAUGACGGUCUUCGGACUGUAAAACUCUGUCUUCAGGGACGAUAAUGACGGUACCUGAGGAGGAAGCCACGGCUAACUACGUGCCAGCCGCCGCGGUAA
rnacentral:rRNA from 1 species